UACGGAGGGUGCGAGCGUUGUCCGGAAUCACUGGGCGUAAAGGGCGCGUAGGCGGCGCGGGGAGUCAACGGUGAAAGCUCGGCGCUCAACGCCGAGUCGGCCGUCGAUACUCCCGUGCUCGAGCACUGUAGAGGCAGGUGGAAUUCCGGGUGUAGCGGUGGAAUGCGUAGAGAUCCGGAAGAACACCGGUGGCGAAGGGCGGCCUG
rnacentral:rRNA from 1 species